rnacentral:rRNA from 1 species
AAGCCUUGACAUUGAUUGAAUCCCGUACAUAUACAGGAGUGCCAUUUCGGUGGAACAUGAAAACAGGUGCUGCACGGCUGUCGUCAGCUCGUGUCGUGAGAUGUUGGGUUAAGUCCCGCAACGAGCGCAACCCUCGUCGUUAGUUGCUAACAGUCUCGGCUGAGCACUCUAGCGAGACUGCCUUCGCAAGGAGGAGGAAGGUGAGGACGACGUCAAGUCAUCAUGGCCCUUAUGGCUUGGGCUACACACGUGCUACAAUGGGGCGUACAGAGAGUUGCGAUACCGCGAGGUGGAGCUAAUCUCAUAAAGCGUCUCUCAGUUCGGAUUGGACUCUGCAACUCGAGUCCAUGAAGCUGGAAUCACUAGUAAUCGUAGAUCAGCAAUGCUACGGUGAAUACGUUCCCGGGUCU